rnacentral:rRNA from 1 species
GAGCUUGCUCUUCGAUUCAGCGGCGGACGGGUGAGUAAUGCCUAGGAAUCUGCCUGGUAGUGGGGGACAACGUUUCGAAAGGAACGCUAAUACCGCAUACGUCCUACGGGAGAAAGCAGGGGACCUUCGGGCCUUGCGCUAUCAGAUGAGCCUAGGUCGGAUUAGCUAGUUGGUGAGGUAAUGGCUCACCAAGGCGACGAUCCGUAACUGGUCUGAGAGGAUGAUCAGUCACACUGGAACUGAGACACGGUCCAGACUCCUACGGGAGGCAGCAGUGGGGAAUAUUGGACAAUGGGCGAAAGCCUGAUCCAGCCAUGCCGCGUGUGUGAAGAAGGUCUUCGGAUUGUAAAGCACUUUAAGUUGGGAGGAAGGGCAGUAAGAUAAUACCUUGCUGUUUUGACGUUACCGACAGAAUAAGCACCGGCUAACUCUGUGCCAGCAGCCGCGGUAAUACAGAGGGUGCAAGCGUUAAUCGGAAUUACUGGGCGUAAAGCGCGCGUAGGUGGUUUGUUAAGUUGGAUGUGAAAGCCCCGGGCUCAACCUGGGAACUGCAUCCAAAACUGGCAAGCUAGAGUACGGUAGAGGGUGGUGGAAUUUCCUGUGUAGCGGUGAAAUGCGUAGAUAUAGGAAGGAACACCAGUGGCGAAGGCGACCACCUGGACUGAUACUGACACUGAGGUGCGAA